rnacentral:rRNA from 1 species
ACGCUCGACACCUACGGGAGGCAGCAGUGGGGAAUAUUGCACAAUGGGGGAAACCCCGAUGCAGCAACGCCGCGUGAGUGAAGAAGUAUUUCGGUAUGUAAAGCUCUAUCAGCAGGGAAGAUAAUGACGGUACCUGACUAAGAAGCUCCGGCUAAAUACGUGCUAGCAGCCGCGGUAAUCUGAGCGGGCUGGCAAGGC